CUCUGAUCCAACCUCUUGCGCAUAGGUGAUUGGAGGAUCUAGAAGAAAGGGCAGGUGCCUUUGAAAGUCCUAACAUGAUCAGUGGUGUACGUUGCGACAGCCAGUGAUGCCAAUUUAGCAAUUUUGUUGCUAGAUUUAGCAACUUUUCAGACUACCCUGGCAACUUUUUUUUCAAACAGCACCUAGGAACUAAUUUAGCUACUUUUAAAAAUGUAUUUGGAACCUUUAGCAGCUUUUGAAAAAUGCACGCAUUUUCCUUCUAAAUGACACAAAAACGAUUUUCUCUGUCACGCAGAUAGUCCCGGUAGCUAUUUGGCAGUCUUAUGGCUUGGGGGUAGAAGGAGUUCAGGGUCCUGUUGGUUCCAGACUUGGUGCAUCAGUUCCGCUUCAUGUGCGGUAGCAGAGACAAUAGUCUAUAACUUUAGGGCCUUCCUCUGACAAGUCCUGGUACAGAGGUCCUGGAUGGCAGGGAGCUCGGCCCCAGUGAUGUACUGGGCAGUACGCACAACCCUCUGUAGCGCCUUGCGGUCGCAUGCCAAGCAGUUGCCAUACCAAGCGGUGAUGCAACUAGUCAAGAUGCUCUCAAUGGGGCAGCUAUAUAACUUUUUGAGGAUCUGAGAUCACAUGCCAAAUCUUUUCAGCCUCCUGAGGGGGAAGAGGCAUUGUCGUGCCGUCUUCACGAGUGUGUUGGUGUGUGUGGACCAUGAUAUUUCCUUAGGGAUGUGGACACCGAUGAACUUGAAGCUCUCGACCUGCUCCACUACAGCCCUGUCGAUGUGGAUGGGGGCGUGCUCGGCUAUCCGUUUCCUGUAGUCCACGAUCAGCUCCUUUGCCUUGUUGACGUUGAUAGAGGUUGUUGUUCUGGCACCACACUGCCAGGAUGGCUGUGGCUAUGUGGAUGGUGGAGAGCAGAGCACUGUAGGGAGAGACACAACCCCAGGAACAGCCCAGACAAAACCACACCAGCCAAACAGUCAGGGGGUUCUGCCUUCUGUUUCUUGCACUACUUCACUCUUUUGUUCCCCACUGUCCCUCCUGCCUGGCAUACCAGUCUGGAAGAAGUCAUUUGGGGAGUAUUGCGGGGGAGGAGAGGGGGAAUUGUAGCGAUGGUGGUGAGGGCUGCAGCUCAGCUAUGACCUCAUCCUCUCUUUCUCCCGUGGAGGGAGUGAGAUCAUGGCUGUCGUAAAGAGGCAUGAAUGGUGUCUUAACUGGCCCAGACAGUACUGGAUCACCCACCUAAUUGCUGAAAUCCAAUUGGCUCCUUAACAACCCUGUGCCCAGGAUAAAUGGACAUUUGUGGAAGUAUGAAGCACACUCUGCCUAGAUGACAAAUGUGCAAUCUAUUUUAACAUAAAUUAUGUUUUCUCUUUGUGUCUAGACCUAUUAUGUGGUUUUCUUUGCAGAUGUUGCAUCACCAUGCUUUUGCAUAGGUGGGCAUGUCUUGGAGAGUAUGGCAGGCAGGCACCUCACAUCUCCCAUUUGCUUGCUCAAUAUGUGUGUGUCAGACUUUGCUGAGGAUGACAGUUUGUUGGUGUAGGUGUUAAUUAUUGUGCAGAGGAAAUCCUUUUUCCUCUUUUACAAAUUGUCCCACCUCAUUUACAUAAUUUUGAGUGGCAUAGCCUAACUUGUUAUUAAGCCAUACUAAUCAGCAAAAGAGUGUUGGAAUGAGGAACAUCUGAGAGGAAAAAAGAGGAAACUGUAAUUAUGCAAAGCUUUUAGUCUCUUUUGAUGAGUUUUCAAUUGUUAUUCAACCAGAACAAGCAUUUCAUUAAUCUGGUCAAGUGUCUGAAAUGCAUAGCCGCAGGAAGUAGUUUUUGGGUAUAUAACUGGUCCCUAAUAUAGGACUAGUAAAGGCCCAGGGCACUACUUAACAACAUUUGUAACUUGAGUCUGAUAAUUAUCUGUACAUAACAGUUAAUCUGAUAAUUCUUGUGGAAAAUAAUAAUAGUUGCUUGAUAUAUGUUUUCCAGUUUCUUUCUAUGUGAAAACUGAAAUAGUCUAUUAAUUCCUUUUAAGUAGACACUCUUAUUCCAAGACAUACAUAUUCAUACUGGUCCCCUGUGGGAAUUGAACCCACAACCCUAGCAUUUCAAGUGCCAUGCUCUACCAACUGAGCCACAUCAUAUCAUCACCAAACCACUUGCUGUCUCUAUGUACUCAAUGACCAGCCUAUGUACAAUAUAUUUACAUUAAGUUGUUUGUAAGGAUGGUAUAUUAAUACUGCACAAAAAGUGGCUGUUUUCUAUGUUAUUUCAUCAAGAUAAAUAUUUCAUUUGAUGUGGAUGUUUUGUGUCUUUACCCAAAACUUAGCACCUUUAGAUGUACAUGUUUGAGGACAGGGUUUUGUUCUUUCUGGAAUCCAUUAGAAUGACAAUCUCAGAGAAAGGGACAGGGCAACAACUCUUACAAAGCGGACACACUUUUUUGCCCAUGCUACAGAAGUCUAUAAUCGGUCUGCUAAUGCUAGUAAAGGCC
rnacentral:lncRNA from 8 species